ACACAUUGGACAUUGGUAAGCCCAAGCCCGUACAGCCAGUUCAAUAAUAAAAGACCCUAACAGGUAUGGUUUCCUAAUUUGUUCCUCACUCACUUUCCACUUUCUCCUCUUCCUUACUUCUUCUUCUCUGCACGCUGCUUGAGAAUGUUCUCCAUGGUGUUCUUCAAUGCUGACUUUUUGUUCCUUCUUCUUUGGGUAUUCAACAUCCUUCACGAAUUGGUGAUGAAGAGUGCUGAGAUCUUUAGCUCUCAAAGGUUUAUGUUCCACUACUUUUGGUUUUCUCCGUCCUUCUCUUUUAAUAGGCUGAUUCUUUCUUUCUUGUAGGUGUAAUUUUCGGUAUGAUUUCUUGUCGAGCUCAAUAGAGAGCGUGAGCCUUGCAUUCAGCUUUGAAUUUCCGUGUAAGAACCCUUUCUCCUCCUUAUUCUUCUUCUUUCUUUCCUUCUUCAAACUUCUGACCUUUGUUGUUUUCCAGUUGCAGCCGAAUAGGAGUGACUCAAGGAACUCCCGUGCUUCUUCACCUCGAUUUCUCUGUUGGAUGCUCGUUUUGGAUUCAGAUACAACUCCUAGACUCUCACCUUUUGCUAGUCCAUGUACCACUGUUUGCUGGCUGAAAUAGCUUAGGAUUAGUUCCUUUACAGCUUUUUUGUUCCAGAAGUAGAUAGCAUCUAAAUUGUACAUAUCAUAGCUGUGGAACCCUGUAACUUCUAUGUUGUAUCUAAGCAUGAUGACCAUUGUUGUUGCUGUAAAUUCUCCUUGUUUUUAUCCUGACUGAAGGGACCUGAUGUUUAUCAAUGUUAAGAAUAUGUUUACCUUGCCUUGGUAGCUGAUUAAAGCUCUGAAAAAUUAGCUUCUGCUCUGUAUUGAUUGUUGUAUUAGUUAUAAAAUCUGCUAAUUGAUUCGCCUCUCUAAAUACAUGCCACACCUCUACAUUUAUUUUCUGAUGGAUUUGCUGAAUAUCUUCCACUUUCUCACUCACUUCCCAUGGUAUUUUCCAGCUCCCAUUUAUCAUAUCUUUUAACGAUAAUGAAUCUGUUUCCAGACGCACUAGGCUAAAGUCUUUUUCCAGACAAUAAUGUAAUGCUUUCCACACUGCCAUUACCUCAGCUUCCAUGUUGGUGGCCUCGCAUAUAUUAUGUGCCUCUGCAUAUAUAAGGUCUCCCCUUCCAUCCCUUACACAAUACCCAUAAGAACUUUUCUCCGGAUUCCCUUUGCUGGCUCCAUCAGUAUUGCAUGUUACCCAUCCUUCGCUUGGUGGUUUCCAACUGACCAAAUGAUAAUGUAAUAUUGGUUUGUAUUUCUGUAACUUCUCUACCAUUUCUGGCCAAUAAUAUGGCAUUGCUUUGAUCCACAUAAAUUUUCUCCUUAUCAAUUGGUGUAUACUCAAUUAACAUUAAUAAUACAACCUGUUAUAAGGUACUUCCUUUCCAUGUCUGUGAGCAUUUCUCCGCUUCCACAAUUCCCACAUAAUGACUGCUGGAACCGCCUUCAGUAUUUGUUCUAACUUAUUCGAUGCUCUAUGUUCCCACCAUUUGAAAAUGAGUUGUUGUAAGUUUAACUCUCUUAUAGUGAUACCUGCACAUGAAGCAAACUGCUUCCAUAGCUUUUGGGCUAUGGGAGCUGUUAGUAAAAGGUGAGACAUAGUCUCCAUUUUUCCAUAUUCGCAGCAAUAGCAUUUGGACACCACUUGUAUCCUCAUUCUUUUAAGAUUGUCAUCUGUGGCAAGGUUCCUCCUCCACACUCUCCAAAGAAAAAAACUAAUCUUAAUUGGCAGCCCUUUGACCCACAUGAAACUCCUCCAAUCCUCUUUUGCCUUCAUGCAUCUCACCAUAUGGAAUGCUGAUUUAAUAGUAAAUGUACCAGUAGAGCUACCUCUCCACCAUGCCUUAUCGAUACAAAGUUUUGAAACAUUAGGUCUGAUAUUUGUAACUACAUGUUGCACCAUCUCUUCCGAUAUAAAAAUUUUCAAUUUAUUCUCAUCCCAAGUUCCAUUUAUGAUAAAAUCUUUCACCUCUAGUUCCUCUUCCUGAGCCCUUUCCCCUUCUGUAUAGUAUAAAACUCCUUGCCUAAUCCAAUUAUCAAACCAAAAGCUUGAGUUCCCAGCUUUGAUCUGCCACCAAAUGUCAUGUUCCACUUCCUCCCUAAUGUUGAGUAUUUUCCUCCAUAUCUGUGAUGCACCAGAACUCGUGACAAUCACUGGGUGAAAUUUCUUACAGUAUUUAUUCCACAUGUACUUUGCCCAUAAUGAUUUUGUGUAUACUCGAAAAUUCCACCAUAAUUUGGCAAAUAGACCAUCAUUUACAUUAUGUAAUGAUCUAAAUCCAAGACCACCUUCAGCCUUUGGAAAACAUAACUCCUUCCAUGCCACCCAAUGCUUUCCUUUAAUUCCUCCCAUAUUUCCCCAAAAGAAUUUCGCAAAAAUUUGAUGUAUUAGCUCCAACACCUUUUUGGGUGGGUUCAAUGUUGAUAACAUGUAUACAAGCAUGGAUUGUAAUACAUUGUUGAUUAGCACCCAUUUUCCACCAAAAGUCAAAAAUCUGUUAUGCCGUGAUAGGACCCUCAUGGCAAUCUUUUUAACCAUUUCUGCAUAAUAACUCAUCUUCCUUCUUCCAUAAAACACGGGACAGCCCAAGUAGGUAAAAGGAAAAUUUCCUUGUCUUAUUCCGGUUAAUCUACGCAUUCUAAUGGAUACAAUCAAUGGAGUAUUAUCAUGAAGGUAAAAGAAACUCUUGUUUUUGUUAAUCUUUUGUCCCGAAACCAGCUCAUAGUCUCUUAACACCUUCAUCAUUUUUAUUAUUGAUCCUCUAUCUCCUGACCCAAAUAGAAUGGUAUCAUCUUCAUAAGACAAAUGAUUUAUCUGCGGACUCCAUUUUGGAAGACCAUAGCCCUUCAUGCUUUGUAAGUUAUUUAGUCCUCUGGCGAGUACCUCUGCUGCAAUAAUGAAUAGGGUUGGAGAUAAGGGGUCACCCUGUUUCAACCCUCUUGAGGAUUGGAAAAAAUCCAUGUGCUUUGCCAUUUAUUAGCACUGAAUACCAGUUGUUAGACAUGAUUAUCCAUACCAUAUCUAUGAUCGCCUCUGCAAAGCCAAAUUUUCUAAGGACUUUUGUUAGAAAAAUCCAAGAAACUCUAUCAUAUGCUUUGGUCAUAUCCAACUUCACAACCACAUUAAUAUUUUUGUUCCUCCUGUUUAUGUCUCUUACUAUCUCCUGUGCCAAUAAAAUAUUCUCCGUAAUGCUCCUUCCUUUAACAAAGCAUGUUUGUGUUGGCGAUAUAAGAUUAGAAAGCACCAAUAACAUCCUCUCGUGCACCAUCCUGGAGAUAAUUUUAUUUAUAAAGGAACUAAGACUUAUGGUCCUUAAAUGUUUGAACUUUUUUGCUGCUGCUUUUUUGGGCAACAAAAUCAGAUUUGUGUGAGUUACGAACUUGGGCAGUUCGUGCCCACAAAAGAACGCCCUCACCACCUUGGUAAUAUCUUCUCCAAUUAUCUCCCAACAACUUUGAAAGAAAUGACCUGUAAAACCAUCUGGUCCACCUGCAUUGCAUCCAUUUAGAUCGAACACCACUUUUUUAACUUCUUCUUGAUCUGGUAGCUUUGUCAUUUCUUCAUUUUCUGCGGUAGUUACACACUUGGGAAUAUCUUCCAACAUUGAGUAAUCAUUUGCCAUACUCUCUUCAGUAAAUUGGUCCUUAUAAUGUUGUACUGCUGCCUCCCCAAUUUCCUCAUUAGUUUUUAGCGCCAUACCUUGCUCUGUGAUCAUCUCAGCAAUGUGCAAUUUCUUUCUUCUCCCCUUAACAUACGAAUGGAAAAAUUUAGUAUUCCUAUCCCCAUCAGUGAACCACUUCAUUCUCGCUUUCUGCCUCCAAAAAUCCUCCUCCAAUCCCAAAAAUUUCUUUAAUUCCGCUUCCACCUUACUUAGUUUAGGCAUGUUGCUUGUUGAUGGAUGCAUCUCCAUCUGCGCCUCCUUUGCCUUAAUGAUGUCCUCUAUCAUGGCUAUUUGUUGAAAAAUAUCACCAAAUACCUCUCUGCUCCAUACUGACAAAGCUUUUUUGACCUUCUUCAAUUUUGCAUGAAAUUCAUUAAACGGAUUUCCAACAAAAUCAAUUUUCCAAUUAUCUGCAACAAUCUUCUUAAACAUUUUAUGCUUACUCCACAAGUUCAGAAAUCGAAAAGGCUUUAUCAUAGGUUCCUCUUCUGAAUUGCAUAUCACAUGAAGCGGUGCAUAAUCAGAACCUUGCCUGACAAGAUGAUGUACCUCAGAUGAAGGAAACUCAUCCAUAAAUUCUUGGUUCACCAAUAUUCUAUCCAAUCUUUUAAAAAUGCACACCUCCUCAAUUCGUCCAUUCCACCAUGUAAAUUUACUGCAUGUAUAACUCACUUCAUAAAGGGCACCACUACUAAUAAAAGCUACAAAAUCGAUGGCUUCGUUGGGAGAAAACGCUAAUCCCCCUAGCUUUUCCUCCUCAUUUAAAAUAACAUUAAAGUCUCCUCCAAUGACCGAAGGACACUGCACUCUUUCUGCUAUGCUAUUUAGCUUCUCCCACAACUCCAACCUCUCUAAAGCAUUGCAUCUAGCAUAGACCACCGAUAUAACAAACUCCUUAUUAUUAUGUUUGAAUUGAAUUGUAACUUGUUGUAUUCUGUCCAGCAUAAUACUGCCCACCCAAUCAUCAUUCCAAAAGAACCAUAUUUUACCAUUACAAUUUACUCCCGCCUUAUCAAAACCUAGUUUCCUUUUAUACUGUUCUAGCUCUGCUGGAUUCUGAAACGGUUCCAUCAAAGUUAUAAAUGCAUAAUGAUGUCUUCUAUUCAAAUCCAUUAACCUCUCAAAUGACUUUUGAGUAUUAACGGAUCUGAUAUUCCAAAAAAUCAUUUUUUUAAUUUAUCACUAUUGGUACCCCUUUCCCGACUGCUCCUUGUUUUAACUUGUAAUGGAAUAAAUGAUCUCCCUUUUCGCGCACCAUUUUUCAAACUGUUGGUGUGCCUUGGAGAUAAAUCUCCCGCCUUGCUAAUCUGUUGAAUGUUAUAUUCCAUAUCCCCAUCUUCUUCAGUGUCUUUUUUCUGUUGCAUUACUUCAUCCUCUUCCUCUAUUAAGUCUGGACCUUUUAGUAUGUCAACUUCUACAUCAAAAUUAUCCCUUAGCUCUCCUGAAUUUGUUUCAAACAACCUGAUUGGUGUGGUAACACUGUCUUCUCGUAUCAUGUGACUACUCUCUUCCUCCCUAUUUUCUACCAUCAUUUCCUCAUUGUGCAUCUCAUGUACCUCUUUUGAUUGAAUCUUCACCUGUUUUGUUAUUUUGCAUCGAUCUACCCCUGACGUGUGUUUAUUGUGUGUUGUGCCUCUUUCCUCCGUCUUAUCUGUACCUUUGUGAGGAGUACUUCUUUUUUCCAGCUGCUCUUUGUUAUUACUUUUUUGUAUCCCUGAUGAAUUAACUUUGGACUUUCCACUUUCCAGUGCUGCAUCUUUUUCAUUCAUCAUUUCAUUUUACUGAUCUUCCUCUCGAUUUUGAUGACCUGUUUCCAGCAAGUUGAACUUAUUCCUUGUUACAAUGCCUACUUUGUUCCACACUUUUGUGGGUUCCUUAUACCUUCCAGCUCCUCCCCAUUUUUUGUAUCUUUGUUCCACGAAUUCACUUUCUUUUCUCCCUUGUUGUUCUUCACUUUCCUUACCCUUUAUGUCCUUAUCUUUGUUGGCCUCCAUGUUGUGCUUUCCUUCAAUCUUUUUUCCUUCAUCAUAAUCUGGUUUCUCCUUGUGUGGGUGCAAUCUUGGUGCACAACAUAACAUUGUUGUUCGUCAUGCCCCUGAAUCAUACAAGUCUGACAGUAUUUGGGGACAUAGUCAUAUUUGAUUUUAACCCAUUUCUCCACCACUUCUUCAUUCUUCAUCAUCAUCCCGAUUUUAAUUCUUUUUGGGAACUUCCUUAGUAAGUCCACUUCCACUUUAACUCGUGCACAACUUGGUCUCGUCUGAUUCUUUGUUGCCAUAUCCACCUAUAAUGGUUUCCCAUGGCUGCUGCUAAUGAAAAUACUGCUUCCUUGCCAAAAAAGUUUGGUGGAAGAGAAGGGAAAGAAAUCCAGGCUAUCGCAGUGGUCGUCUCCUCCUCUGGAUUAAACAAAGGAUCCCACUUCAAAGUUCUCAUUGAAAAAGACCAAUUGUUUUGAGUGAUAUAAAAUGCAGGCUUCGACAACAGAUGAACAUAGUCCUCUAAUAGUGUUGCCCUGAUCAGAACAUGCCUAUUACUUAAUAGCCCUAUAUUGCAAUCUCCUUUCAACUCACAUUGUUUUGGAAUGAGUUUCCUAAGAUCUUGUAUUUCUGGCCACCCAUACGAAAACUUCCCAAUCACCGCAUAUUCCAGAUUCUCAUUGACUAUCAUCUGCUCCACCUCUUCUUGUUCCCAUAUAACUUGUGGUUCUCCAUGCAAAUAUGUAAUUGAUUUUAACGGAAUUGGUUUAAUAUGAACUAUUUUUUGUUUUAACUUUUCAGCAUAUGUGCCUCCAAGAAGUGGCCUACCUCAGGAGGAGGUUGACCAGUGGCCGUGGCGGCCAUCGUUACCGAUUCUAGGCAAGUUGGUGAUGACGG
rnacentral:lncRNA from 1 species